AGCGAACGCUGGCGGCAGGCUUAACACAUGCAAGUCGAGCGGGCAUCCUUGUGGUGUCAGCGGCAGACGGGUGAGUAACGCGUGGGAACGUGCCCUUCGGUUCGGAAUAACUCAGGGAAACUUGAGCUAAUACCGGAUACGUGCGAGAGCAGAAAGGUUUAUCUGCCGAAGGAUCGGCCCGCGUCUGAUUAGCUAGUUGGUGAGGUUACGGCUCACCAAGGCGACGAUCAGUAGCUGGUCUGAGAGGAUGAUCAGCCACACUGGGACUGAGACACGGCCCAGACUCCUACGGGAGGCAGCAGUGGGGAAUAUUGGACGAUGGGGGCAACCCUGAUCCAGCCAUGCCGCGUGAGUGAUGACGGCCUUAGGGUUGUAAAGCUCUUUUCUCCGGGACGUUAAUGACGGUACCGGAGGAAUAAGCACCGGCUAACUUCGUG
rnacentral:rRNA from 1 species